rnacentral:rRNA from 1 species
CUACGUGCCAGCAGCCGCGGUAAUACGUAGGUGGCAAGCGUUGUCCGGAAUUAUUGGGCGUAAAGCGCGCGCAGGCGGAUCAGUCAGUCUGUCUUAAAAGUUCGGGGCUUAACCCCGUGAGGGGAUGGAAACUGCUGAUCUAGAGUAUCGGAGAGGAAAGUGGAAUUCCUAGUGUAGCGGUGAAAUGCGUAGAUAUUAGGAAGAACACCAGUGGCGAAGGCGACUUUCUGGACGAAAACUGACGCUGAGGCGCGAAAGCCAGGGGAGCGAACGGGAUUAGAUACCCCGGUAGUCCUGGCCGUAAACGAUGGGUACUAGGUGUAGGAGGUAUCGACCCCUUCUGUGCCGGAGUUAACGCAAUAAGUACCCCGCCUGGGGAGUACGACCGCAAGGUUGAAACUCAAAGGAAUUGACGGGGGCCCGCACAAGCGGUGGAGUAUGUGGUUUAAUUCGACGCAACGCGAAGAAUCUUACCAGGUCUUGACAUUGAUGGACAGAACUAGAGAUAG